UGCCUCCCGCAGCCGCGCGCCCGCCCUGGGCCCAGCCUCCAGCCCGCGAGCGAAAACCUGCCUGUUGCUUUGUCUUCUUCCUUCACAGUUUUCCCACCCUGAGAAAAGUGAGAGGUGCUUUCCCUGGUGUUUCCUCUCAGGAAGGGCCGUGUGACUGGAGCCGCGAGUUGGGCGCCGUCUCGCCGGGGCUGGAGGCACAAAGGAAGACUACAUUUCCCAGUCUGAUUGUAUCUAUGUGGGGCUAUGCUACCAGUUCUGGCAAAUGGACUAUGUACCAGCAGCACGAUAUACCACUUCAUGCCUAGCACCUACAAUCUGCAAGACAGCAUCUGCAUUCUCCUCUCUGUCUACUGUAGGAUUAUCAGUGUCCAGCAAAACCAGGACAUUCACCAACAUAUUUUGUCAAGUAAGCAAGAAAUAAAUUUCUAUUGUGUUCAUGUACUGAAA